UACUUUGUACAGGACAGUUCCACAUAUAUUUUUAUGACAACAAUGCUAUUUGUACAUUAUCUGUUUGACAUCAUUCUUAACAUUCCAUUAUUUUCAAAAUAAGUGUUGGGGAGAAAAUGUUUUUUAUUUUCAAACUAUCCAAUGUGAUGUCGUCACGUGACACAAUGUAAUGAAUAAUGUCUAACUCAAUGUACAAGUAGCAUGAUUGGAGCAGAACUCCAUCCAAGACGCAAUGAUGGAUCCAUAUAUUCCUCCCGAACUGGCAAAUAUCCA
rnacentral:lncRNA from 1 species